ACAUCCAGUAGAAUUUAGCAGAGAUGCUUUAGUGCCUUCGGGAACUCUGAGACAGGUGCUGCAUGGCUGUCGUCAGCUCGUGUUGUGAAAUGUUGGGUUAAGUCCCGNAACGAGCGCAACCCUUAUCCUUUGUUGCCAGCACGUAAUGGUGGGAACUCAAAGGAGACUGCCGGUGAUAAACCGGAGGAAGGUGGGGAUGACGUCAAGUCAUCAUGGCCCUUACGAGUAGGGCUACACACGUGCUACAAUGGCGCAUACAAAGAGAAGCGACCUCGCGAGAGCAAGCGGACCUCAUAAAGUGCGUCGUAGUCCGGAUUGGAGUCUGCAACUCGACUCCAUGAAGUCGGAAUCGCUAGUAAUCGUAAAUCAGAAUGUUACGGUGAAUACGUUCCCGGGCCUUGUACACACCGCCCGUCACACCAUGGGAGUGGGUUGCAAAAGAAGUAGAUAGCUUAACCUUCGGGAGGGCGUUUACCACUUUGUGAUUCAUGACUGGGGUGAAGUCGUAACAAGGUAAGCGUAGUGCU
rnacentral:rRNA from 1 species